rnacentral:lncRNA from 1 species
AACUAUAUAAUCUUUUGAUGAAUUCCAUUGAAAGAAUCUACAUCCAGUCCCAUCUGUAUAGAGUUCUGCAAAUCCAUUGCAAUUACAAUCGCCCCAGCAAGCAGCCUCACAAUCACUGUGAUUAAUAUUCUCCUUUGUUUCAUAGGUUACAUUUUCAUCAUUAGAGUGAAUACUCUUUUUGGUAAACACAUCACCAGGAAUCCUGCACUUGGGUAUAUCCUGCCAUCUUUGGCACCCUCCUUCUGUGUUGUUGUAUCCAUAGCACAGAUCAGCCCUUGCAACAUAUCCCUGUUUGUCAUUGUAAUAUAACCUCCCAGUAUCCGAUAACGACCAGAUAUGUGUAAUGUUUUCAUUUGUAGAUGUGAAAGAGAAGGUGUCUUCAUCCAAAUUGGAGACUAUGCUGUACUUCAACACGGCUUGUGCAUCUUCUGGAAUGUGCUCAAAUCUAUUGUUCCUCAGUUUCCCACUUUUCCAACAAACUUUUCCUCGUCUCCUUAUCAUCAGUUCUUGUCCCCUCGGUUCCCAUUCAAGACUAAAGCCACCUGGAGUCGGACCGUCUUCAUUCUUCUGCGAAGAAAGUAACGAACGAUGGCCUGUUUUAUGAUUAACACCUAACUUCAUGGUGGGGAUCAAAGUCGCAAAGGGAUAAUCAAAACUCUGCCACAAGAGAGUGUUUGUCCCAUUGGAGUGAAGGUGUUGAAGCACAAAGUUGCCUGUGUCCAACAAAGUGGCCACAGUGUUGUUGAUAGGUUGAGGAGGAGAAUAGAGAAUAAUUGGUUUAUUCACAGAUGAAGAUUCUAUUUUCAGCACGCCAGAGAAGUUUAAGGAUAGAACUGCAUCGUUAUAGUCGACAGAUUGUUCUUUAUUACCCUCCCAAACUAUAGCAGCUUCAUAUUCACUUUGUAUUGUUAAGUAAGUGAGAAUUUCACCUCCACUUGUUACAGAAUUAAAAUACAGAAGAUAUUUGCGACUCUUAGAAUAUAGUUCUGAAGAGGUGUUGAAUGUGUCACCGGGCUUUAAACUGUCAUCUGCUGCAUCAACAUGAGUAGAAGAACUGAAGCAGAACCAGAGAUGCAUGAAAGCAAGCAGAAGUUUGUGAAGGAUAAGCCUCAUAGGAUGCUUCAAAUAUGGAAAGACUAAUCUGCAAGAAGAAGGUGAGACUGUGAUACUAUGUCGUAAGUUCAAAUAAUGUGUAUCUACUUUUUAAGUGCAAUUAUUUUCGUUGUAAAAAAUUAUCUGUCAAAGCAUCAGAAAUCAAACUUGAUAAAACCUAAAAUCUAAAGCGAGGUUGUCACAUUCAUUUCAUAAAAAUAACUAUACAAUAUUUUUUUCACAAGACUUAAUUCAUUGUGAACUGAUUUAUUUGUUUUACAAUUACUAUAUAUUUUUACUAUUAUUAUUAUUUAAAUAACAUUCUGUUAAGUAAUGCUUAUUUAAGCAAAGAAAUAAAAUGUCACUAAUCAUAAUACAUUAAAAUUAGAAAAAGAUUAUGAGUGAAUAAAAAUAAAUAUUUUUUUUUUAAUUACACACCAAAAAUAAUAUAAUUAUUUUAAUUUAAAUCUUUUAUUAUUAUUUUUUGUUUUCAGCGUUAAAGAAAAAACUAAAGGAAUAUCAAGACUAAAAGUAAUAAAAAGUUUAGAGGGAUUUAACUUAAGUGCAUAACUUUAAACAUACAUAAUAUUUGUAAUUAUCUAUACGUGUGUGCAUAUAUAUAGAUAUAUUAAAAUACAUAUCUAAAAAAUUAAAAUAUAACAGAGGAAUACAUUAAAAAUUAUGACAAAAUAAAAAGUAUAUAAAUUACAAUUUCAAUACCUGUUAAGAUACAAAAUAUUUUACUAGCACUUGCACGUGAUUUUUUUUUCUAAUUUAUUUAUUUUUUAUCUGAAUUAAUAGAAUAAAAGGAACUUUAAAGUGUCCAACAUCAACCAAAACCAAACCUAAUUAAAGCAAACAACAGAAAGUAAAAUAUAUUUGUUUAGUGUUAUAUUGUUUAUAAUAGUUAAAAUAAUAUAAAAAAAACUAUAAAUUAUCUUCAUUUCAUCGAUAUAAGUCAGAAUAACACAGAACAAUUUAGAAUUUCUGAAAUUCGUGUUCCUUUUCUGUUGGAAAGAAAAAGAAAAGAUGUUUUAGUAAAAGAAAAGAAAAGUACCACUUAUCUUUACUAAAAAAAAUCGAAAAAAGUAUGGAUAAGUUGAAUACUCGAAAUUAGAUUGUAUUUUUGAAGGUACAUGUUUUAUAAACACUUCUAAAAUUAAAAAGAAAAAUCCUUUCUUUAUACAAGGUAAAAUUACUUUAUAAAUAAAUUAAAAAUUAUAUAUACAAAAUUAAUAAAAAUAUUUUUUACAAAUAUAUAAAUAUUUUUUAAUUCAUAAACGAAUUAUUUUUAAAAAAAUUACUUUUAGAAUGUUCGCACAUGAUAUAUUAAUAUAAAGGGAAACACGUUAAGAAUGGCCGACAAAAGUUUGUGUUAUGGGACCUAUAUCUUUCGUUUCCUUUUGGUUUUGAGUAAUCUAUUGUCUUCCAUUAUUGAACUUUAAAAGAUAUGGGAUAUCAUUUUAGCAUGGACAAGUUUAACACUUUUUUUCACACAAUAGGAAAAUUAUGAGUUCAUAUUUAUUAGAGGUUCAUAAAAAAUUUAAAAGAAUUAGUAUAUAAAAGGAACUUAGAAGAGGCUUGAAUCUAUGUUUUUUUCUAAAUUGUGUUUAACUUUACUAAUUUUAGUUUUUAUCUAUCAAACAAUAAAUUUUCCCACGGUUUUGUUUUUAAUUUAAAGAUUUAAUUACCUUCGUCCCUACAUUUAGGGUCAAUAUUCAAUUUAGUACAGUAUUUUUUAAACAAAUCAAUUUGGUCCCUAUGUUUUUAAAAAUGUAUCCAAAAUUUUCCUUUCUGUUAAGUCGCACGAAACAACGUUAAGUGGUGCUUAUGUGGCAAAGAUAAGGGGUUAUGUGGACUGUCAAGUAGGUGACACUUUGUUUUGGGUGAUUAGGGUUUCGGGUAUGAGAUUGGAUAGGCAGAGAUUAAUAAAUUCUGGUUGUUAGGGUUUCCGUACGUAAAUGUUUUUGCUUGUUGCCUUGUUCACAUAAACGAGUAAGUUGACAUAUAGGAGGGUCGUCGUUUGGGGUGGAGUCUGGUGAUUGUGGAUUCGUUGGUUGGGGAGGAGUAAUCAGCGUUUGUGAUUCGUUCAUGGGUGUAGAUCUGUUUGUGGUGGAAAUGUGUGUGCCUAUAGGUCUGCAUCUGUAUCAUCAUGCAGUUGUAAUCGAGUAGGUUCCUCAAUCGCUGCCCCUUCACGAGCUCUGGAUCACACCUCAGAAUGGAUUUGGGAUCGCACCACGGGAACGCACUACACAAUCGAACGUCACAUCACACCACAAGAUCGCACCUCUAGAUCCUUGUUCACAAUCGCACCUCACACCAUACAAUGCGUAAUCCCCAAGUGAAAUUAUUGUAACCCUAACCCCCAAUUCAUUCCUGACUAAGCUAAUGUAACCAUCCACGUCGCUUGACACGUCUCUGCCAUAUAAGCACCACUUAACGUCGUUUCGUGCGACUUAACAAAAAGAAUCAUUUUGGAUGCAUUUUAAAAAAUAUGGAGACCAAAUUGAUUUUUUAAAAACCACUGUACUAAAUUGAAUAUUGGUCCUAAAUGUAGGGACGGAUAAGGUAAUUAAAUCUAAAUUAAACAAUUUUGAUUUGUUGUCAUCAUGUAUAAUCCCACUCAACAUUAUUUCCAAGGUUAAUUAGAGUAUAGUAUAUGUUUUUUACCAUUAAACAAAAAUAAAUAUGAAAACUUUGUAUUUUGUUAUACUAGAUCAUAUCAAGAUACAUUAUUUAAUGUAAAUUUUGGUUCAGCUAAAAUCUAAGUUUCAAGUUUUUGGAUCAUUCGGAUUUUCUUCAUCUAAUGGUUUAUGGUGGUCUUAUGAGUAUCAUCUCUUAUCGAUAUUAUUGUUUGAUGGAUAUCAUUGUUUGAUGGGCAUCAACGUCUGUAUUGAACUACUGCUUUUGGAUCGUCUACUUCUUUUAUUUAAGUUUCUCUGUAACUGUUAGUGCCUCAUGAUAUUUGAAACUCAAUUGUUGUACACGUCGUUGAUUUGUAUGAGAAACGUGCAUAGUAGGAAGUUGUAAGGCAGUUAUUUUUUGUCUUGUAGUUAUGAAAGUGAACUUGACAGUUUUCAAAAACAUAAGAGUAGAGAGUGUUGUUGCGAGGUUUAGAGAGAAACUUUUUGUUGUAACCUUUAAGGAUACUCAUCGUGGACGUAAACUUCAUUAACAAUAUAAACCACGUAAAAUUGCUUUUGUGAUUUUCAUACUCUGUUCUACUCCGUUUUACUUUCUCAUUCACGGUUUCUCUUUUUUUUAUUAAUAUUAUUUUGAUUAAAUGAUCCAGUGAAUUGUGUUUGCACUCAACAAAAUGGUGCGAUGAACAUGGAAUGAAGAAACUCAAACAAGAUUACUUCUGCAAAGUAUGAGGUUGACAAAUUCACUGGAUUGAAUGAUUUCUAGCUAUGGCGGUUGAAGAUGCAUGCUCCUUUAGUUCAAUGGACCUUCUUGAGGCUUUGGAAAGAGAUUUCAGGUCUGAAAAACUCAUGACUGAAAACGACAAGACUACAUUGUUAGAAAAGGCUCUUAGUGCAAUUUUUUUGAGUCUUGGUGACAAGGUCCUAAGGCAAGUUUCAAAGGAGAAUAUUACUAUGAGGUUAUGGACGGACUAUCUUGAAGCCACUUUAAAAAAACGUUACGUAUAACUUGUGGCUCUCUCACCCAAAAAAAAUGGGCGUACUCUCACUACAAGAAAACAUCAAAUUAACUUUCAAAUAUUAGCGUUGGCCAAAUUCUGACGUUGUUAUAGGAAUCAACUUAAGAGCUUGUCGAUGAGCUCGCCUGGGAUUUGAUAUAUGAACCUCCUAACAAUGCUCGGAACAUAGGUUGUAUUGAGGAGUGUGCAUACCAUUCAUACAUAACAAAACCAACUAUAUUAGCAUAUGUAAUACUGUAUAUAUAGCAUUAUUCCUCCAUUAUUUUAUGAGAUUUUUCAUCAUUCAACUUAUAAUGAGAUGCAAUAUGUGUGGAUAUAGGUUUUAAGUUUUUCAUACUAAACUUCACAAGGAUUUAUUUGAGAUAGGUCUCAUAGGACACAUGUAGAUGUUUCAAAUCACAUCGUCUAAUGAUCUUAAUCACCAAUAUAUUCCUAACUCCUAGGUCCUUCACAUGAAAGUCAUUGUUUAACAUAAAGUUAACCUUUUGUACAUCGGGUUUAUUAUCUUUUUCUAUUAAAAUGUCAUUUACAUACAUCAACAAUACAAUGAAGUGACCUUCUAAUAGAAACUUGAAGUAAAUGCAACUAUCUCUUGCUAUGUUAAAAACCAAUGCUCAUAAUGAACUCAUCAAAUCAUAUAUUCCAUUCCCUAUAAAGAACAUGUAUAUGGUGACGAUUAUUUUUGUAUAAAGUUGCAUUUACAACCGUCACAAUCUACAUGUGUGGUAAUUCUGUGUACCUCCACUGAUCUGGCCUUCAAAAGUAUAAUGUGACGGUCUAUAAACACCACUUUAUAUAUUAUAGUAUAAUGUUUGUAACCGUCACUAUUAUAUUAAAUUGUGAAUUAUUGUACGUUAGUAAUAACGGUUGUAAUUAGAGAAUUAAAUAUUUUAAUUUUUAAUAUUACAAUUUUUAAUAUUUUAUUGAAAUUGUUUUUAUAAUUUUCAACUUUUGUUCAUGAUAUAAUUAACUUGUUUCAAUUUAGACUAGCUGAAUUUUCUGAACCCACAACUAGUGCAAGAAAAUAUCAUGCAAGAAAAUAUCAUUGUUCCUCAUCACCUGAGGGUAUAACCUAAAUUAACAAGCUAAUAUGGUUAAACUCCAAUUCUAAUUACACAACACUAAAAAUGGACUCCUUUGUCACAACAAGGUGGUCUUCCCAUGUCAUCAACGUGUACAUGUUUAAGAGUAAGUAAAUCCAAGUUUACUUUAAAUAUCUGAACUAUUUGUGUAGCUUGCAUUUCUUUGCUAGUAAAGAAAAAAAAAUGAUGAUACCAAAUAAAAAAUUUAUCUCCACAUAUGCAAGCAGACAAAAUCAAGUAUCAAUUGCCAUAGAUCAUUGAGCUAAAAUUUGUUUCAAAACUUUUAGUUGAGCUGCUUAAUUAGAACAUUGAAGUGUCCAUUCCCAUCCUAUCUUAUGAGUGCAAAUGAUCUUCACACCACUUUACCAAAUUCAGGUGGAAGGCUAUUUAUUACUAGCACAUGUAAUGAUGACACUCAAUUGUAAUGCUAGUGAUAUAAAACUGGGAGCAGAGAUAACAAUUAAAUAAGAUGAGAACAAAAUAAAAGGAAAACAAUCUAGUAAAAAAUUAUUUGAUCAGCAUUAAUCAUCAUAAGGCAUCAUCUAUAAAGAUGAUUGCAAAAUGUUCCACAUAAUACUCUUAACACUUGUUGAUGUAGAGGAAAUAGACUAAGAUAAAGAACAUAUUUAACAAGACUUAGCAGAAAAUAAUAAUAAAAAUAAUAAGCUCAACAUCCUAUAAUAUUAAUACUCAUCCAACAAGAUUCAAGAUUCAAAAACAAAAUCUUGUCAGAAAAACAAAUCUGCUAAAUAAGACUAAAAGUACUAGACAACAUAACAACCAGAUAUCAAAACUUAGCAAAUAUGAAAACCAGAUAUCAAAACUUAGCAAAUAUGAAACAUACUUGAAGCAUAUGGUAAACCACCUGAAAUACAACUGAAGCAUCUAUGAUUAUUUUGUGUUUGGGAAUAUCCAUUAGUGUGCAAAAAAUAGUCAGCAGAUUUCUUUGUGUUAGAGGAUUUUCCAUUUCCUGAAACAUCAAAAGAUAUGAAGUUUGAAUCCACUUAUACUUAUUACCAAGAUGACAAACAUGACUCAAGAAUGAAGGGAGGGUGUCAUUCAAGUUGGUGGGGUAACUACGUCUUCGCGGUAAUGGCAGAGAUAGAACUAACGGCAACGACGCAUUGGGGUGGAUGCGUGUGGUGUGGGAUAUGAGAGUGAGAAGAGUUGGGUUAGGGUAUUUAUGAGAAUGGUUGAUGAUUCCAGGGUGAGGGGUCUGUGUUUCCAAAUGAGAGGAUUUCCAAAGAGAAGAGAUGAGAGUGUUUGCAUAGGGGUAAAAGAAAUGAUAUUUGUAGGAAUACAAUGUUUUGGGGAAUAAUAAUUUUUGGAAAAAAAGAAGAAUGUUGUGGAUGGAAUGGGGAAAAUUAGUUGAAGGAAAAAGAUGAAUGUGAUGGAGGCAACAAAAAUGUAGAGAGCGGUAUACUUCAUAAAAUGGCGAUGACAUAUUUUGAAGAGGAAAUGUGAUGCUAAUUAACAUGUCGUAUUAAGAGGGAGCAGUAGCAAUUUUUAUGCAUAUCAGAAUGCUUUUUUUUGGUGUUGAAUAUAAGUUGUGUUAGUAAAGACUCUGGCCAACUUCAUACCUUUUUUGUGGGUUUUUUCUGCUACCUAAUUGGGAUGCACAAGAGCUGCAUAAUUGAAGUUUUUGCUGCAUAAUUUUUUCUGGACUUGUAGGGGAAAUUAUGCAGGUUCUUUGUAGAAUUUUGCAGCCUCUAAAGGAGUUAUGCAGGUUCUCUUUCACUGCAGAAUUCUACAGCUUUAGUAUCUUAUUGGAAAUUCACAUGGAUCUAAUCUUUUGGAUGUUGGCCCUUGUAAAAGGGUUGGGACACCUCUUAAGUGUUCCUAGUAAUUUAAAUUCAUUCUUUGCUGAUAAAAAAAAAAUACGAAUAAUUGUGACAAAUUUUAAUAAUCGUCAUAUUAAAACCGCCACAACUUACAUAUUUUUUGUAGUGGUUGACUUAUCGAUUGUUUCAGACCAUGCAAGGAUAUGUUUAACUUAAAAACAUAAUGCUCUUUGUCUCCUAUCUCAAAUCAUUCUGGUUGCUUCAUGUAGAUAGUCUCCUUUAAUUAUCCAAAUAGGAAUGCAACCCUAACGUCUAUUUGUUCCAUCUCAAGGUUAAGUUCAACAACCAUGGCUAACAACAUCCAAAUAGAUUUGUCCUUUACUACAUGAGCUAACACAUUAUUAUAUUUAUCUCCUUCACUCAGAAAAGCCUCUAACCACCAAUCUCGCUUUUAAUUUUUUUAACUAGUUUGUGGAAUACCAUAUUUACAGCUAACCGACCUAGAACCAACAGGUCUAUAUGAAUAAGAGUCCAGGUAUUGUUCAGAUGAAGUGAAUUCAUCUCUUCAUUCAUGGUGGGAGAAGGCUUCUAUCUAGGUUAAGUGACAAAUGGAAUUAAUUUAGUGGUGGAAAAGUGAAAUGGUCAAAUGGUAUAGAAGUGGUUGUGGAAUGAUUUCUUGGAGAGAUAGUGUGGGAAAGUUGGUCAUGUGUUUGGUUGAAUAUGGUUUUGUGUUUUGGGGUGAUCUUUGUCGACUUUUGUGGAUAGAGGGGAUAUGAGAUGGGAAGCUUGACAAAAUCACAACAUAGAUACAAAAUAAAUGUAAUGGACCAAGCAAUGGACCAAGAUGCUAAUGGAGAAAAUGAAAAUGGAAUAGGAGUAAGUAAAGGUGGAGAUUUCCUUACCAAGUGUACACAUCCUAGGUUGGGCGGCCAUAUCCUAGACGGUCUCUUGAGACUCUUCUUAGAGGGUCCAAGAAGACAAUAGGAAGGAAGGCUACUUGGGAAAACUCAACCAAACAACUUUUUUUCAUGCUCAAACUCACUCACAAAAUGUGUGAUUUUACAUGGGCGAAUGUGCUCUUUUAUAGCCUAAGAGUCAUGAUAGUCAAGCUUCUAAGGAGAGUGUGAGACUUCUUAACACACGAUUUCCUUAGGAUUUUCUUAUUAUACACUAGUUAGACUUAACCAAACGGUCUACUGAGACCAUCUACCAAAUAUGAUAGAAAUUGUAAAUGAAACUCUAGAUGGUCUAACAUGAUAAGACUGUCUAGUAACAUUUAAACAAGUUUUUACCGAAUCAAUCUUCACAUAUUUGAAUGAUUUGAGGGAAAAAUUAAAAAUAAAACAAACAUUUACUAUCUUAAAAAUAUAACAAACAUUUCUUAACUGACAAUGCAUAAGUAAAUAUCGUUUCUAUUUUUAUUGGUACAUAGCUCACUCAGGUUUAUUCUAUUUCCAACGAAGUAGUAAUUUCUACUGUAGAACUAGUACACAACUCUGAAGAAAAUAACUUCUCAUUAAACAUCUCUCUUUGAAUAUAAAAUGCUGGUUUUUUAGGUAAAGACACUAUUGCACUCUUGUUUGUCAGCAUUGAUAUAACGUCAGACAUGGUUGGUCGAUCAUUUGCAUAUUGUUCAACACAGAGGAGACCAACAUGAAUACACCUCUGCACUUCAUCAUAAUCAAAUGACUCAUUUAAUGAUGGAUCCACUGAUUGAAAACACUUGUCAUCUAUCCAGAGUUCCCAUACCUGUAACUAUUUUAUUCAAAUUAGACAUAAAGAAUAUUAUACCAAAAAACAAACUCAUGAAAAUUAAUUUUACAUACAUGUCCAAUUAGAUUUAUUGGGCGAUCCUCAUCAUAAAAACUAGUGUUUUUACGUCCACUAACAAUUUCAAGCAACAAGACCCCAAAGCUAUACACAUCAGACUUUGUAGAAAAAACUCCUUCCAUAGCAUAUUCUGGAGACAUGUAACCACUGCAAGAAAUAUUAUAUCAAAAAAUAAAUUUUAUUUAUAGAUUGAUACAUAAGUUAAAUAUAACCAAGUUUAACAAGCUUACUAUGUCCCAACAACCCUGUUCGUAUUUGAUACUGAGUCUUGUUGGGUGAACAUUCUAGCCAUUCCAAAAUCUGAAAUUUUUGGAUUCAUAUUUUCAUCCAGAAGUAUAUUACUAGCUUUCAAGUCUCUAUGAAUGAUUUUGAGUCUUGAGUACUUGUGAAGAUACAAUAAUCCUUGAGCAAUUCCCUGUGUUAUGUUGAACCGUUUAUUCCAAUCUAGUAAUUUGCUUCUUGUACAAUCUACCACAUGGUAAAAAGAAUAAAAUGACUUUUCUUCAUGAUGUUAUAACUAGGAAAAUUGAGUAAUUCUAGUAAAUCUAUCAUCAACAAACAAUGACAGUUGAGAAAGAUCAAUUUGACCUACAUAUGUGUUUGAAUAGUUGCAUAAUAAUGAAAACAAGUUUUAUCUGUUUGACAUCAUAAACAAGACAUAAUUAGAUAAUGAUCAACACAUUCCUCACCGAAAAGAUAGAAAUCCAAGCUUUUGUUGGACAUAUACUCGUAAAUUAGAAUCUUCUCUUCUUCAUGAAUGCAACAACCAAGUAGUUGAACAAGAUUGGUGUGCUGAAGUUCACAUAUAAGUGUUAGUUCAUUUUUAAACUCAACAAUUCCUUGCGUAGAACUUCUUGAAAGUCUUUUUAUAGCAACCUCCUCUCCUGUUGGCAAAGUUCCCUAAAGAAAUGAUAACAAAAAGGUCAUGUGAGUCCUCCGAAAUAACUUUACCAGCACAUAACAUGAGCAGUUUCGAUCACCUUAUAAACUGGUCCAAAGCCUCCCUGUCCUAACUUAUUUUCUGAUGAAAACCCAUUUGUGGAUGCCACAACCAUUGUAUAAUCCAAUACUUUUAAACUGUGUCCCUUAUUCAAAUCAUUUCCAAAAUCUUCUAUUAGAGAUAAUUUCAUCUCCAUUUCUUUCCUUUUUUUCUCUGUUCAGAUGAAAAUGAGAAAUGUUAAAAUAUAGAAUAGUGAUAAAAAGAUUGUGUUUAACAAUGAGUUAGAAGUAUGUAAUGUAACUAACCUUGAAGUACAUGUUUUCGUUUCUUUAUGGCGUGGCAUAGAAUGCAUGCGCAUAGUAUGAGUAAAGCAGUUGCUAUUACUGUACUUAUCCAUAUCCACCUUUUUGUACCUGCAUAAAACAACUCAAAAUCUUCAAGUAUCAAUUAUAAUUUUACUGCUUAUUUCCUUUCCUAUUUGGAGAUCAAAGACUGCUAAAAAAAUGUGCAGUUCCCUAAGAUCCACAGUAAAGUUGUACAAAGAAAGAAAUGCACAAGAAGUAUUCACUCUUGAAAAAGGGUGUAUUCAAUUUAGGUAUGGUUGGAAUCUUUAGACUUUGCUGUACAUAUUAUAGGGUAUGAUGGGAACCAUUUGAAAUGAAACUUCUUUUUGUCUAUAAAAAAAUGAAAUGAAGUUGGCAUUGGACAUACCUUGAUGAUGAGGGAUUAUGUUCCCUUUGUUCUCCAGUAAGUAAAUGUCUUCAGCCGAAACGGAGCCGUCAACUAUAUAAUCUGUUGAUGAAUUCCAAUGAUAGAAGAAACAUCCAGUUCCAUCAUCAUAGAUUUGUUUGAAUCCAUUGCAAUUACAAUGGCUCCAGCAAGCAGCCUCACAAUCGCUGUAACUAAUAUUCUUAUUAUAGUCAAAGGUUAGUUUUUCAUAACUAGAGCGAAGACUCUUUUUGGUAAACACAUCACCAGGAAUCCUGCACUUGGGUAUAUCUUGCCAUCUUUGGCACCCUCCUUCUGUGUUGUUGUAUCCAUAACACAGAUCAGCCCUUGCAACAUAUCCAUCUUUGGCAUUGUAAUAUAACCGCCCAGUAUCUGAUAGCAACCACCGACGUGUAUGGCUUUCAUUUGUAGAUGUGAAAGAGAAG